rnacentral:lncRNA from 1 species
AUCUUCUCUUAAGAGCCAGGUCUGCCUACGGCGGCAUUUCUCAAUAGCAAGGCUAUGCUCACUGAGUCUAUCUCUCUCGCUCUUUCUCUCUCUCUGCAGGGUGACCGGGGGACGAUGGGGAAGAGAGGUCUGAAGGGCGGGAAGGGGGAGCAGGGUCCUCCUGGACUGGACCAGCCCUGUCCUGUGGUAUGUCAACCUUGACCUUUCAUCCAUGACAGUAUGGACAUUUGAGCCAGACUGGAUAAAAUAUGUAACCACUUUGUGUUUACAAUUGUCCUUUUUAAUCUCUAUUUCUAUGAUUUCCAAUGGAUGUUUUUGUCUGUCUGUGGGAGGGAUGUAUGUUCAGAGUAUGUGUAACAGUGGGUUGGCUCUUGCUGACAGGGUUCUAAUGGGACUAAAGGACUUUCUGAUGAAGGGGUACAGUCCACCCCUCCUUCUCUUCCUCCUUCUGGCCCUGAGCCCCCCUGUCCUUUGGGGCAAGAUGGACUGCCCAUACCAGGAUGUUGGCACAAGGUGAGUGGGGAUUUGAAUGUCCAGUGUGGCUCUACCUGCCUGAGUAAUAUGUAGUACAUUCAUUAAUACCUGCCUGAGUAAUAUGUAGUACAUUCAUUAAUACCUGCCUGAGUAAUAUGUAGUACAUUCAUUAAUACCUGCCUGAGUAAUAUGUAGUACAUUCAUUUGCAACCACAUGCAAUAUGAUGAGAGAACAUUGUCAAUCAAACCAGAAUUUCAAGAUAAACAGUGAACAAUGCAAUGAUCAUCCCCCAACUCAGAUUGUUUUACUGUACCAAUUAGCAUGUUUAAGCCCAAUAAAUAAAUAUGAUUGGGGUAUGAUUAUAACAUGUAUGUUAUAUAAUAAUCCUCUUAUGAGUAUGAUUAGGAUGAAGUACAAAGCAUGUAUUAUAGAGCCCUAGUGACUUUGCUAACGUUAGUAACCUUUCUGUUGUUCUUGAUCUGUGACCUCUUGACCUGUGACCCCCACUAUAAUCCCUGCUUUCCUUCUCUUGCAGUGAUGACUAACAUCAAGCGUGGCCACUGUACAUAUUGAUAUGGUAUAUAUUGCAACUGAAUACUACAUUGCUUUUUUGUUAUUUUUUGCCUUUUUAUGGAAACGUUUUAUAUAAUAUAUUGAGCUUUUUUUUAUCAUGGACGUUAUUUUGAGUCAACAGUAUUAACCAGACUGGAUAUAUCGAUCGAUACAGAUAUUUUUUGUACACAUAGACUUUAGAUGUGAAGUGAAAUGUAGUAAAUGGAACACAGCCAUCUUGGAGCAACAUCGGGUACGGGAAAUAUAGGAGCAAACAGACUCCUAACCUAACAGACAGACAGACUGAUGGGCGGAUGGACGGACAGACACACAUGUUGCUGGAGGGUUG